CAGAACCCUGCGUACGGUGUCACUUAACUCACUCCACAUUUCCAAUUGUUUUUUUUUUCUCUUCUGCUAAAACAAGAGCAAAGCCAGACACAUGUUGAAUUACUCCAAGGAGUACUUGGGGGAUUUUGCUGGAAAAGUGGAUAUUUGACUUUUUGAAGAUACCAGAGUGCAGUGGAGAAAGUCCCUGUUUUUUUGGCAAUACGUCGAUCUAAAACGAGCUGUUGUGCACAGUGUAUCUGCAGGAAAAACUUCUUCCGAUCACUGUUAAGCUACCGUCCAUGCGACUCAACACUUCCUGCAGACAUUUCAUAUUGAAACCCAAAGGAGGGACUCUCCUGGUGCUCCUGAUGGCCAGUCCGACUAUCGCUCUCUCCGCUGUUGAAACAAACUACUUUCAACCUGGAUGAGCACCGACCCAGCUGGAUGUCUCCUGGUGCUCCUGAUGGCCAGUCCGACUAUGGUUCUCCCUGCAGUUCAG